rnacentral:rRNA from 1 species
ACUUUCAACAACGGAUCUCUUGGUUCUGGCAACGAUGAAUAACGCAGCGAAAUGCGAUAAGUAAUGUGAAUUGCAGAAUUCAGUGAAUCAUCUAAUCUUUGAACGCACAUUGCGCCCCCUGGUAUUCCGGGGGGCACACCUGUUCGAGCGCCAUUUCU